UACGUAGGGUCCGAGCGUUGUCCGGAAUUAUUGGGCGUAAAGGGCUCGUAGGCGGUUCGUCACGUCGGGAGUGAAAACUCGGAGCUUAACUCCGAGCCUGCUUCCGAUACGGGCAGACUAGAGGUAGGCAGGGGAGAGCGGAACUCCUGGUGUAGCGGUGGAAUGCGCAGAUAUCAGGAAGAACACCGGUGGCGAAGGCGGCGAGCUGGCCUGUACCUGACGCUGAGGCGCGACAGCGUGGGGAGCAAACAGG
rnacentral:rRNA from 1 species